rnacentral:rRNA from 1 species
GAUGAACGCUGGCGGCGUGCCUAAUACAUGCAAGUCGAGCGAACAGACGAGGAGCUUGCUCCUCUGACGUUAGCGGCGGACGGGUGAGUAACACGUGGAUAACCUACCUAUAAGACUGGGAUAACUUCGGGAAACCGGAGCUAAUACCGGAUAAUAUAUUGAACCGCAUGGUUCAAUAGUGAAAGACGGUUUUGCUGUCACUUAAAGAUGGAUCCGCGCCGCAUUAGCUAGUUGGUAAGGUAACAGCUUACCAAGGCAACGACGCGUAGCCGACCUGAGAGGGUGAUCGGCCACACUGGAACUGAGACACGGUCCAGACUCCUACGGGAGGCAGCAGUAGGGAAUCUUCCGCAAUGGGCGAAAGCCUGACGGAGCAACGCCGCGUGAGUGAUGAAGGUCUUCGGAUCGUAAAACUCUGUUAUUAGGGAAGAACAAAUGUGUAAGUAACUAUGCACGUCUUGACGGUACCUAAUCAGAAAGCCACGGCUAGCUACGUG